GGCCCAGAAGGGGAAAGUAACUCUAAAAGAAAUGUAACUCAUUUAAUGAGAUGAUUAUUUUAUUAUAGUUUCAAACUAGUGAAUUGCUGUAAUUUAGUUGACUAAGAAUCUGAACCAUCGAAGCUGAAAAAUUGGGAAAGAUGGCAAAAUGCCUCAUCAUUUAUCAAACCUGAAACAUGGAAUAAACAUGUCAUUAACAUAUGCAAAGAUGUAAUUAUUUUCUAAAUUAAGCAUCUCUAAGUGUAUAGUUUAAUUCAAAUUAUAGAGUGGUAGAAAAAAAUCAGAUUCCAGAUGGAUAUUUGUUUCAAGUCACUACUCUUCUAAGCUGCUUUUGUACAAAAAGAGGUGAUUUUGUUUCUAUUUUUUGAGUCAUAAAUGUCAAAAUACUGUCAGAAGUACUGUCCUUAGAUUUAAAUUUAUAAUACUGGCCAGCCAAUGGCUAUGAACCUGAUCUGUAUACAAAUAACUCAGCAAAGCUUUAAUGUUCAAUUUUAGUCCCAAAGAAAUGGCAAAGCGUCUUCACUGUGUUUGAGUGUUCUAACAUGAUUGUACUGAGCCAUAUCUUUGUUCCUAUGAGCAAACAUCGUAAGAAAAAUAUUAUUUCUUUCAGUGCAAAGUGCUGUAUAUUAAAGCCAAAAGAUGAAGAGAACUUAGGCCAACAUGUAAGAUAUAAUAUGGAUAAUGUUGAACAAAUGUAUGAAUUAAAUGACUUCCUUUAUGUGCACUCAGGUGGUUAAGUGUGUGGGAUGGUGGCAGAAGGUGGGGACCAGGUAAAAGGCAGGUUUUCAAGACAGUCCUCAAGCACGGUCAAGGUGGAUUCCUGGAGGUACAGGAAUUAAGGCAGAGAAAGGCUUAAAGAAAACAGAAAUAAUAAAUCCCAGGAUAGAGGUGGUGAGCAGCAGAGGUCAUCGAGACCAGCCUGAAACAUCCUGGGACAACUUCUAAGCCUAGAGAAGUGCUGAUGGGAAGAUCUCCUGAAAGAGCUGGCAGCUGCCAUGUUUGGUGGGGUGAUGGAAAUAGAAGCAGGCCCACCGGCUUAUCUUGCCAUCCGUGAGUUUGGACACAGGAGGACAGCAGAUCUCUUUCCUUUUGGAUUCAUGGAAAGGAUGCACUUGUGAGUCAGGGAAAGGCUCUGAGCCAUGGAAGGUUCUCUAUCUCUGUUUCCCAGUGUGGUAGCCACUUGCCACAUGUGACUAUUAAACUAUUCAACUUGCAAGGUGGCAAAUCUGAAUUGAGAUGUGCUGUGAGGUUAAAAUACACUCUGGAUUUUGAAAACUUCAUGUAAAAGUGUAGAAUGUCUGAACUACUUUUAUAUCAAUUACGUAUUGAAUUAUUUCUAUUUUGGAGAUGUAGCGUUAAAUAAAAUAUGUUAGGAG
rnacentral:lncRNA from 1 species